GACGAACGCUGGCGGCGUGCCUAAUACAUGCAAGUAGAACGCACAGUUUAUACCGUAGCUUGCUACACCAUAGACUGUGAGUUGCGAACGGGUGAGUAACGCGUAGGUAACCUGCCUGGUAGCGGGGGAUAACUACUGGAAACGAUAGCUAAUACCGCAUAAUAUUAAUUAUUGCAUGAUAAUUAAUUGAAAGGUGCAAUUGCACCACUACUAGAUGGACCUGCGUUGUAUUAGCUAGUAGGUGAGGUAACGGCUCACCUAGGCGACGAUACAUAGCCGACCUGAGAGGGUGAGCGGCCACACUGGGACUGAGACACGGCCCAGACUCCUACGGGAGGCAGCAGUAGGGAAUCUUCGGCAAUGGACGAAAGUCUGACCGAGCAACGCCGCGUGAGUGAAGAAGGUUGUCGGAUCGUAAAGCUCUGUUGUAAGAGAAGAACGGGUGUGAGAGUGGAAAGUUCACACUGUGACGGUAUCUUACCAGAAAGGGACGGCUAACUACGUG
rnacentral:rRNA from 1 species